UACGGAGGGGACUAGCGUUGUUCGGAAUUACUGGGCGUAAAGCGCACGUAGGCGGAUUGUUAAGUCAGGGGUGAAAUCCCGAGGCUCAACCUCGGAACUGCCUUUGAUACUGGCAAUCUCGAGUCCGGAAGAGGUGAGUGGAAUUCCUAGUGUAGAGGUGAAAUUCGUAGAUAUUAGGAAGAACACCAGUGGUGAAGGCGGCUCACUGGUCCGGUACUGACGCUGAGGUGCGAAAGCGUGGGGAGCAAACAGG
rnacentral:rRNA from 1 species